UGUCACUCUUCUCAGUAAAUCGUCCGGUAGUAAUGUAUUCGGGAGCCAAGUAUCCCAUUGCAGCACUUACUUUAAGAGCUGAGAAAAUAACAUCAUCUGCAAGAAGCUUAGGUUUGCUUGCAUCAUUGCUAUGAAGAUAUCCAAUGCCUGGUCAAAUGAAUAGCAAAUGUCAUACAUAAAAACAUAUAUUAUCCAGAGUAAUAAAUUUGAUGCUGCGUGUCAUUCAGUUUUCCUGAACUUUAGAAUUGAAACUUUUCUUCCGUACCGUAUGCUGCAAGAGAAUGCAGAAACUCUUUUGGACCACUCGAGCACAUGGUCACUUCCAUCUUCUAAGUCAAGAUAUCGGGAAAGGUUACCCAUGGUGGCAAAGUCAUAGAUAAGGAAACAUUCACCUCUACUCCUUGAGCAACAAAAACCUCUCAACCU